CCUCCUGCAUGAGAAAGAACGGGGCCGGCUCCUCCGCCCAGCCAAGGAAUCAAAUCGCCAGGCGCUCAGGGGCUGAGUGAGCUGAGCCACCACCCUGCCCUGGGAGACAGGUGGAAUUUCCCCACCACCGCCCACUUACAUUCCAAUUCUGUGCGAGUGUCCGAGUGUCUGAGGCACACGCAGUCCCCAGUCCUACCACAGCAGUGGGAAUGCAGAUGGUGUACAUGGAGCUGUUACCUGGGGAGCCCCGGCAGGAGACCCAGCAGCAAGCUCACCUGGGUAAGAAUGAGCUGGCUCUGAGUGAGAAAUGCAGCCACCGGUUUCGACAGGGGGUGAUGGGCUGUGUUCCCCAGGAGGGCAGUUGCUGUCUAUUUAUGGCAAGCGAUACUGAGUCUCCGUUUACAAAAGUGUUAUCAAGUUUCCCUUUAAAAUACAUUUAUUUAAGCUAAAGUGGGUCAAUCUACAAGGAAAAAAAAAAAAAAAGACGUGGAAAAAAAAAACCAAACAGUGCAGGCGGUGCACAGAUGCGUGAGGCAGGGACCCAGAUCUGGGGAACACCCAGAAAACAACCUGGGUGUCAGGCGAAGGCACCCACCCCAGGGUCGUUCUGAGAUCCCUAACCGUGGCGGUGACCUUGGAGCCUACUCUGGUGUACCUCGGGGCUCCUCCUGGACCCUCCCACAUCGUGUCCCAGGCGGAAGUCCCCAGCUCCCGUGAGCAUGACUUUCUCAAAGAGGAGCUGUGCAGAGCCGCCCUAGGGCCCUGGCCUGCCUGCCUGCCUGCCUCCCUCGGGUAUCUGGGACCCAGGCAAGGCCCUCGGCCCCGGCACAGACCGCUGCUGGGCCGGGGACUGGAGCCGGAGCGGGGGUGGGGCGGGAUGGGGCGCUGGCUCUUUGAAGACGGGAGCCUAACCAACGCCAGCCUUCUGCAACUUGCGAGAGGCUGAGAGCAGCUGGGAGACACAACACCCUCCUGGCUCUCGCCGAGGUGUUACAACUCGGGCCGAGUUGCCUGGCAACCGUGCAGGUGUCUGAUAGGGCGAGCAGCGCGCCCGGGGAGCCAACCGGGGCGCGUGGGGCCGGCCCAGGUGGGUGCCCGUAAUGGGGCCGGGCCGCACCCGCUCUCCACACCCCUCCUGCUGCUUCCCGCUCCUUGCACGCGGGUGGGAGGUCGUGGCGCCUGCCAGACCCCGCGGGACUGUAGAAUCCCACCAUGCUCCUGCCUCUGGGAGGGGGUUCAGCGGCAGAGCGCCUCGACAGGUGCGAGCCGGCCUCCUGGGCCCCACCCAACUGCGGCCCUAAUUCAGCACUUGUGAGAGACUCACGAAUGGGGCAGGUGGCAUCCCCCACGCUAGCAUCCGGGCUCUCCCGUGUCAUAUAAGCACAUUUUCUUCCGUCCCCCAGAGAAGGUGCUAAUGGAGCAGGCACCUUGAGAGGAGGGCCUGGGUGGGAGCCAUUUAGGCGGGUGGGUUCUGAGUCACCAGAGAGCUGGCGGAAAGAGCUGCUGUGAGCUCUGGGCGCCCGGGCUCCAUUUGGGUUCCAGCCAGUGACUGAAUGGCUGUGGAACCUUGAGCUGCUCUCUCAACCUCUCCCUUUGCUCAUUCCUAAAAUGGGGGAACCAGGACCCACUCUGCAGGGCAGCAGUGUGGGUUAAGCCAGGUGAUGCCCACGGGAGGUGCAGCUUGGUGCUUAGCCAAUGCUUAAUCCAAGAAACAUAAAUAGCACUGGGGUGUCGCUGUGACCCCUGGUUAAGCUGCCACAGGCGAUGCUGGCAUCCCAGGCUGGAAGCACUGGUUUGAAUCUCAGCGGCUCCACUUCCAAUCCAGCUCCCUGCUAAUGUACUUGGGAAAGCAAUGAAAGAUGACUGGAGUGCUUGGGCCCUUGCCACCCAUGUGGGGACCAGGAGGAGUUCCUAGUUCCUGGCUCCAGCCUGGCCAUUGUGGCCCUUUGGGGAGUGAACCAGCAGAUGAAAGAUCUCUCUUUUCUAUAUAUAAUUCUGCCUUUCAAAUAAAUAAAUCUUGAAUAAACAAAUAGUUCCAUUUGGAUCUGGAAGCUGUUGCCACUGGGCUCAAGUCACAGAGUGACUCCUACUCAGCACCAUGGUGUUCUGAGCCCCUCACCAGCCCCACUCCCAGUGACCCGUGCAAGUAGCUGCUCACAGCUUGGUCCAGAGAGCAGUGAGCUCUCUGACUUCAGCUUGCAGUGGCUACCCCCAACCAGCAAAUGGCACAGCCCCAUUUUCAAUAAUUCUAGGGAGAAUGGGGCAUUUGGCUUGGUGAUUAAGAUGCUAGCUGUAGGGCCGGCACCACAGCUCAGUAGGCUAAUCCUCCGCCUUGCGGCGCCGGCACACCGGGUUUUAGUCCCGGUCGGGGCGCCGGAUUCUGUCCCGGUUGCCCCUCUUCCAGGCCAGCUCUCUGCUGUGGCCAGGGAGUGCAGUGGAGGAUGGCCCAAGUGCUUGGGCCCUGCACCCCAUGGGAGACCAGGAAAAGCACCUGGCUCCUGGCUUCGGAUCAGCGUGGUGCGCUGGCCGCAGCGUGCCGGCCGCGGCGGCCAUUGGAGGGUGAACCAACGGCAAAAAGGAAGACCUUUGUCUCUGUCUCUC